rnacentral:lncRNA from 1 species
GUUCUAUGUUUAAAGGUUGAGGUUUCAGUGGCAUGUUACUUACUGUUGCAUUAAGAACCAGCAACUCCCUCUUUGAAUUGUUCUGAAGAAGGGGGUUUGAUAUUUUCAUUUUUCACAAGCAGUUUCGUUUUUAAUCUUUUUGUAUUUUCGAUUUUAACUUUUUUAAUUUUUUUAACUCUUUUUUAUUUCUUUUUAUAUGUUUAGUUAUCAAGUGUUUUGCCCACUGCCUAGUGACUACCGUAACAUAACCUGUUUUCCAGUUGAAGACAGAAUAGAAAAAUGUUGUUUUUGCUUGGAAAUAAAAUAGAUAAAAAGAUAAGUGCUUGUAGGUCCUUUAUAUGACAUAAAUAAGUCAUUGUCCUGUUUUUAGGAUUAUUUAAAAUGCAGAUAAUUACUGUGCUUUUUUGGUUGCAGAAUUAUUAAUUCUAGAAAGAUGUCAUAUUUAGCUUGUCAUUGGUGUGGAUUUAUUCCUCUAGUGGUAUAUUGAGCGUAUUUUGAUGUUGUUUUGUUCCAUUAUUAGUAAUAGGAGAAGUAUUUAGUGCUUCUAUGGGUUUUCAAUUUCUCCUGUCUGAAGGUCCUGUAUUUCAUGUGUUGAUUGUUUGGUAUGGAUUACUUCUGGUAGCAAUUUGAUGAGGUUUGAAAGAUUAUAGGCGUUAAAUAACCCAAUUUAUUUAAAUGCACCUGUGGAUUGUAUUUUGAGCAGGUUAACUGAAAAGCUUGGUAGAAUUUGGGCAAUUAAGUAAGCCUAUCAGAAAUUUAAAAUUGGUUUGGGUACUAAAUAAAUGCUUACGGAUACAUGCAUUGAUUCUCAAUUAUGUUAUUGGUUUUAGGAUGCUCCAAGUUCUUGUAGCUCUUUUCUAAUGAAAAAUGUUUUUGCUUUCGGGCAAGGAUAGAAAGCUAAGGUUCUCUGGCUCUAGCUCCUUUUUGGGUUACUCGGCAAGAUUGCAUUUUUGAAGAUAAGAGGGAAGACCAAGUUUCUUGUCAGUGGGACAAUGUUCACUUUUUGUCAUCCGUUUGGACUUAGUUGGGAGGGGCUAGCUUUUGACAUGGUUGUAUAUCUAUGACUAAGCAUAGAGAUUGAGAGCAUACUGAUCAUCCAGGGAAAUUAACAAGAAUUAUCUGUUUUACUUUUGCAGACAGAGUCUAGAACUGCAGUUAAAUAUACAAUAAAUAGAAAUUCUAAUCCUAUUGUAAGGAUAGAAGGGUGAUGACUGUGAUUGCAUUAAAUUGAAGUUUGGAAGUCAGGCAAAUUGAUUGAAUGUCUCUUUGAACAUCAGUAAACUGCGCUGAUUGGUUGAACUUUUCAGGUGUUUGUAGAUUCAUUCAUAUUUUUGCGAGGAAAUUGUUUUCCUUAAAUGUUUAAAGUUGUUAUGUGAGCUAUGCUUGCAAAAGAUUAAACGUGCAUGGUUGUUUCUUGUCAUACACAAUUUAUGCUUUUUGAAGUAUUUUCCCCAAGAUUUUCUACGAAUUGAACACUUAAUAGGUUUCAUAUAUUUUUUCCCCCUUCCACUUUUUAAGGGUGGAUGACCCUUGCAUGAUGGGAAUACAAUUGUGGAUUGUGUAGUAUCGCAAAGAAAUGUCUUGGAAGAAAGAAAUUAAAUAUUAAAAUGUCAUCAUUAAAUGAUAAAACCAUGUAGCUUACUGGGAAGGGUUAUGAACUGAUGCGUUGUAGGAUCAAAUCCAUCGUUCAGAAAAAGAUUUCAAGAAAACAUAUAUGUAUGCUGGUCAAUCAUCAAGAACUUGGUCGUGUGCGAAAGCUUAUAUUGUUAACGAGGGGGUGAAUUGACGACAAAAUUGAGAUAAUGAUUUGGGCGGAUAAAUACAUAAAAUAUUUUUUCUUUUUUAAAGAUGCUUAAUUCCUUCACAUCUCAUAAAUGUCCGCACUGAUUUACGGGUUCUGAGAAAAUAUUGCGGUCACAUUGAUAGGGUAAAAAGGUGGUCCUAAGGCCUUACGCAUACUCUUAACUAAAUAUGUAAGCAGCAGCAUCUUAAGGGUAUCGUUGUAAGUAAAAAAAAUAAAAUAUAUUCCUUCCCUUAACGCAGAUUUGCUAAUAAAAGAAAAGAAAAUCAUGCAUAUAAAUAUAAGAAUUAAAAAAGAACUGCAAAUAGAUUUGAUAUGGGAGGAUUGUCAAUCUCCCAUGCCCUAUUAAAAUCUAUAUAUAUAUAUCACAUAUAACCUGUUGUUUUAUACAAUUCAAAAACUCCCGCGGCGCCAAAAAUUUAGAAGAAAAUAAGUUAUUUGUUUGGUAAUUUAUCUUGAAAAUAAUAUAUAUGUGUGUGUGUGUUGUGUGUGUUAUAAGAAAAAUAUUUAAAAAAUAACAAAAAGCACAAGAAAAAGUUAUCUUAUUAUUAUUUUUUAUUCACACCGAAACUUUUUUUAAUUCUCAAAUUUUUAAUUUUAAUUUCUAUUUAUAUGAUUUAUUUAAUUUAUAAUAAAUAUGAACAAAAGUAUAUUUAAAAAUAAUGGAAAUACUGUAAAAUUAUUUUUCGAGGAGUAUUGACUAUAUAUUUUAAUUUCCAAGUCAAUUUUUUUCUGGCUGAGGUAAUUUGAUCGAAGAAAAUGACAGCCUUUAAAUUUGUCAAUGUUUUCGUUUAUAAUUAGUAUUAAUUAGUAGGUUGGUUAUCAUAUUUGCAAUUUGGAGGUGGGGGAAGGAAAUAUUUAGAUGGCGUUUAUUUUUUUGUCUGAAAUCUGAAUAGACCUGAAUUAAUCUGAAUUCUGAAUAGAUCUGAAUGUCUGAAUCUGAAUAAUAUAUUUAUUUUUUCGUCUGAAUCUCGAAAAAUAAGUAUUAAAUUGUUUAUUUUUUUCAACUUAAAAAGCUGAAAAUAUAUACUUUUACAUUUGUAUCCUUAUUAAAUUUGAAUGUCAAAUAAAUAAUAUAUUAAAUACCACAAUAUUUUAACAUUUAUAAGUAUAACUAUAUUCAAGUGAAUACAUAAUUAUUUUAGAAUUUUAAUAAAUAAAAUACCAUAAAUUUUAAAUUUUAUCGUAUAUAAUAUAAGAAAGAAAAAACAUUGAUAUUUUUAUGUGAGGUAAAUGUCUAUAGGUGAGUUUUGGGAUAGACAUGAAAAAUAAAUUAUAAAGCAUGGAUAUUUUUGACAUUAGUAAGUAAUUGACUUAAUUCAGAUUUCUCCAUUAAGUAAAAAGCAAAAAAAAUUAGCUUAUUUUAUUAAGUCAAAAUUAUCUAAUAAGUCUCAUUAAGUUAUAAAAACAAGCACCUCUAAUUAACUUAAUUAAUUAAGUUAAGUCACUUUAAGUUAUUAAGUUAAAAAACAAACGCCACCUUAGUAGUAUAUAAUUUAAUUAAUCAGGGCCAGCAACUGCACAUCUUUCUCCAUAUCAAAGUUCCCUGAAAAACUCAACAAAGUGACUCAGACCUAACAUUAUCUAUUAACAAUUAACAUUGUUGAAUUAAAGAAUAAAGACUGUAUUAUUAUAAUUAACUCCAAUUUGGAAUAAUCCUCAGUUAGUCAUGUGGGUCUCACUCUCUAGCCGGCCAUUUGUAUUAAAGUUAAAGAAACCGAUAAACCUAAUAACAUCCGUAGAAUCAUACUUUUGAAAAACAAUUUCUUCGGAUAAAAUUAGCCUAAUGAACCCUAAUCUUCUCUUAGAAUUUGAUUGUAGGGAAAGAUCGGACUUGUUUAGCUUUUAGAAUCUUUUAUCUUGAAAUGGUGGAGCCAUUUAUUUAGCCUUAACUUGCCAACUCCAUAAAACUACAAAUACGGUCAUCUCAUUUCAUUGGUCUCUUUCUUGAGUCUUGACAAAACAAAACUCCCGCCAAAACGGAUGCCUUUAUUCAAUUCAAGUAACAAAGCAACACUUUCGUCAAAUAAAUACAGUUGAUUAAUGAUCAUUAUCUUGUGUUUUUUUUUUUCUUUUUUCCAAUGAUACCAUACGCCCAAAAAUGUACAUGUAAAAUGUAAUAUAGUUGCUGUUAUAUUUUUAUUAUGAAUUCAAGUUUUACAUGAAAUUAGAGCGAACUCUUUAUCAUAGAACUUUUAACUUGAUCGUAACAAUGUCGCUAUGCAUAUUCAUAUCAAAAGAGAUUGAUUUAUUUGUGCAUCAUAUUGGGUAUGAGAAAAGGUAAUGUGGUGUGCAAAUUAACAUAAGCUUUAUGGAGAGAGGAAUCUCGUGAUUAUCUGAAAAAUGUAAAAUUAUAUUUUCGAGGAGUAGAUUAUGCUUCCAACCGGACAGAUUGACAAUAUUGGAUCAAACAAUCAACACUCGGACUUGUUUGCUAUUUUUAUCGCAUUACUUGAAUAGAAACCCUAAAUAGAAAAAAAAAAAAAAAAAAGAGGGAGACAAUAUGAAAUUGACAUAUUAGACCAAAAGAUCUCAUGAGCAAGGACGUGGAAGUGCGGAACACACCCCUCCAACUCCUUAAUUCCCUAAGUUGUAAGGAAGCAUGGUUGAAAAUUCAUUAUCGGGAAAAAAAAAAUCGGCUUUAUACAUUACGAUUUUGCAUUUAUUUUUAAAAUUUAAGAUUAAAAAAAAUAACAUACUCAACUCAACCUAAUAAUAAUGGUCACAAACGGACACAAUAGAAAAAAAUUUCCGUACGUGUAUACUCAACUCAACCUAAUAAUGAUGGUCACAAACGGAUACAAUAGAAAAAAAUUUCCAUACGUGUAGGUGAAAUAUGUUUUUUUAUAUUGGUAGACCUAUUAAUUCAUGAGAAGGAAAAAUUUUGUGGAAUAUUGACUUUGCAAAUUUGAUGUGAAGUCGUUUUGUUCCAUUAAAAUAAGCUUUAGGAGAAAGUACCUACCUAAUACAUCUAUGGGUUAAGUGGUUAGGUAAGAAAAUUCUAUUGAAGCUUAUUUUUAGGAGUUAAAUAACCCAAUUUAUCAAAAAAGUGGCUGUAGAAUAUUCUAUUUUGAGCAGAUUAAGUAAGACGCUUGGGAGGUUUUAGGCAAUUACAUAAUUAAAUAUAUAUCUAUUUGAAAUUUUAAUUGUACCCGUGGAUAACUUCUUUUUUUUUUUUUUUUUGAAGAGAAAGUAAAGCUUUCCAUUAGAUAAACUUAGAGAAGAUACAACUGAUUUGUUCUAGAAAAUUUUCUAGCCAAAAGACUUGACUUUCAAAACCUAGUGCUAUCUUUGCCAGAGAAUGAGCAAUAGAAUUACAGCUCCUAGGGACAUAUGACACUGAGGACAAAUUCUGAUUUUCCAAUUUUGCUUGAAUCUCUGUAAUUUUCCACACAAUUUCAGCCUUGCAAGUCUUCUUCUUCUUUAAGGAUAGAUCCACCACUUCCUUUGAGUCUGACUCAAUGAUUAUUGGGAAACAAUCUGCUUGAUGGGCACUUUGUAUACUGAACAGCACAGCUUCAGCCUCCAUGCACGCCACAUCUCCCCUAUAUGGAGCUCCUUGGACUGCUGCAGCAAUCACCUUGCCCAUAGAAUUUCUAAUGACUACCCUCAACCCUGCCUUCUAGUUAGAAACAUUGAUUGCAGUAUCAACGUUAACUUUAUAACACCCUUUUGGAGGAAAAAAUUCUAAAAUACCUCAGAUGUACUACAACUAAUUGAUGCAUGCAUGAAAUAUGUAAUUGAAUUUAAUACAACCACCACUUAUAUGAUAGUGGUUUAAAAUAAAUACACACAUAUCAUGACAUCAUUUCUUAUUGUAUGAGUGACAUAAUAACUCAUAUGUAUUCUAAAAUUUUUCUUUUGGAGGAGUAGCUCAUACCAGUUGUUUGAUUAUGCUGUGGUACCCGUGGAUAAUUGGUUUAUCAUGCACGGGAGAUUUCAAAAAAGAAAAAUAAAAAAAGAAAAAGAAAAUGACUUUCCAACUCACUUUUGAGGCAUAAGGGCCAGUUUCAGAUUGUUGUUAAAAUGAUGAAAAAUAACUUUGAGAAACCAAGAAUUAAUUUUAAUAUUUGGCGAAAAAAUAUAAAAUCACACAAAAAAUUUGGAAAAAUAAAAUUGACUUCACAAUUCAUUCCUUCAGAGGACUUUUUAACACCCUGAACAACGUUAUUUUUAAAAACCAUAUAUUUGCCACGUUAGGAAUACGGGCAUUAAAGACGGUGUUGGGUGCUCGUUUAAAACUUUUAAAAGAUUCAUAAUUGUGCUUGUGACACUGACAAGCCGCUGCCCAUUUAAUUUUCAUGUGGUACUUUACUUUGAUUAUUCCAACCCAAUCGUCAAUCUGCCGAUAAUAGACUUAUCCUUCGAAGUUUUCUUUGAAUCCAUUACACUCCAAUAAGUGCUUUUGAACUGGUGAAACUCAAUUAAAUAGUCAUCGGUUCGGUCGGAUUAAAAAAUUAAAAAAAAAAAAGAAAGAGAAAACUUAAUUAGUCAUUUAUCAAUAGGUGAAAAAAUUUCGAAUCACUUAACCGACAAACUUUUCCAUGCUCCUGCCACUGCAAAACCUAUAGUGAAUUUAAAAGUAAAUUUUAACAGUAAAUCAUUAACAGCUAACUAAAUAUGUAAGCAGCGGGCACCUUAAGGGUGUCUGUGUGUUUAUAUAUAUAUUAUAAGAAAAAUAUUUAAAAAAUAAUAAAAAGUACAAGAAAAAUUCACACCAAAACUUAUAUUUCUUAUUUUUAAUUCUGAAAUUUUUUAUUUUUGUUUAUAUGAUUUAUUUUAAUAUAUAAUAAAUAUGAGCAAAAGUACAUUUCAAAAUAAUGGAAAUAAUGUAAAAUUAUUCUGGGAGGAGUAUUGACUAUAUAUUAACUGAUAAUCUCCCCCUUUGAUACAUAACGAUUCGAGUUCAAAUGAUUUCGUGUUAUAUUCAAUUAUGCUUCCUUGAACCUGACAGAUUGACAAUAUUGGAUCAAAGAAUCAACACUUGGACUCGUUUGCCAUUUUUAUCGCAUCACUUGAAUAGAAACAUUAAAGAGAAAAAAAAGGGAGAGAAUACCAAAUUGAGAUUAGACCAAAAGAUAUCAUAAACAAGGACGUUUUUUGUCAGGAAAAUCUAGUGCUUCUUCUUUAGUGGAAGUGCGGAACAAACCACUCCGACUCCUUGAUUCCCGAAGUUGCAUGGAAGCAUGGUUUGAAAAUUCAUUAUCGUUCCAUUUAGGAAAAAAAUAAAAAAAUAAAAUGCAUUAAGUUUUUUGCAUUUGUAAAUUUAUGAUAAAAAGUAAAUAACAUCGCUAAUUAACUAUGGUCAAAGAUUCGCAAAUAGACACAUGGAAAAAGAUUGGUAUGAUUUAGCGAUUUGGAUCCGUGUCCUUGAUUUAGCAUGCAGGUUAGUGGUUGGUCAAUUAUGCCGUGUACCUACGACCAAUGGCAACGAACUAAAGCCAGAUGGACCAAUGAACUAACAUGUAGCAUUUGACAUUUUUUCUUUAAGAAUACAACAGUCAAAAGAUCAAAAAAACUAAUUUUUAUAUGCGCCAAAUCCAUUCCGUUUUAUACAUUACGAUUUUGCAUUUAUUUUUAAAAGUAUAUUAUUAUUAUUAUUAUUUUCCCCAUCAAAUUUAUUCCGACAUAUAAAAUCAUCAGUACCAUAGUUUGAGAUCUUUGAAACCCCAUUCUUAUAACUAGAAUAUUAUUUAUUCUUGAUUAAACUUUCUUGAAGACAAAAUAAUCACGUAAUUAUAAUAAAAAGCAAGCAGCUUUUUGUACCAAAAUUAUUUUGAGAGUGUAUAAUUAUAAAAUUGAAAACAAGCUGUUGCCUUCGACGACUUCACUGCAAAUCAUUUUUCUGUUCAGUGUUAAAAUAAAUUGUGCACGAUUGGAUGCUUUAGACUACUCUUUUAUUUUGCAAGCUUGAAUUUAUUUACAAUUCAUCUCUUUUAUCCCUUUCAAAUAGAAGCCUGUUUCUUGAACCAAGCACAACAUUCCCUUUAGCUUGGGGAACGAGCUAAGAAAUCUCCUAUCAUCCAUCCAUAUUUUAAUUUUCGUUUUUUAAUCUCUUAAAAAGCCAACGUUUUUUAGAAGAAAUUGGGAAAUAAUAUGUAGUCAAUAGCCAAAUUGAAGCAAAGCUAUGCGGGUCAAUCAUCAAGAAACUUGGAUGUCCUUCCCUCGUCUACGGAAGUGAAAACACUGACACGCCCAAGUGGGUGAAAGUUAAAUUGAAAUGCCAAAAUCAAGACAUUAGAUCACAAAAUUUGCAUAACAUUUCCUUCCAGAAUAUCUUUGCCUACCUACCAGAAAACUGAAUGCAAUUUUUAUAUUUGUAUCAUUCCCUAGUCAGGCAAAUUGAUAGUAGUUUAAAAUAAAUAUACACAUAUCAUGACAUCAUUACUUGUUAUAUGAGUAACAUAGUACCUCAUAUGUAUUUUAAAAUUUCUCUUUUGGAGGAGUAGCCCAUACCAGUUGUUUGAUUAUACAGUGGUACCCGUGGAUAAUUGGUUUAUCAUGCACGGGAGAUUUCAAAAAAUAAAAAUAAAAAAAAGAAAAAGAAAAUGACGUUCCAACUCACUUUGGAGGCAUGAGGGCCAGUUUCAGAUUGUUGUUAAAAUGAUGAAAAAUAACUUUGAGAAACUAAAAAUUAAUUUUAAUAUUUGACGAAAAAAAUAUAAAAUCACACAAAAAAUUUGGAAAAAAAAAAUUGACUCCACAAUUCAUUCCUUCAGAGGACUUUUAACACCCUGAACAACCUUAUUUUUAAAAACCAUAUAUUUGCCACGUUAGGGAUACGGGCAUUAAAGACGGUGUUGGCUGCUCGUUUAAAACUUUUAAAUGAUUCAUAAUUGUGCAGUACUUGUGACACGUCAAUUUAUAUUUGCCACGUUAAUUUAUAUUCAGAACAAUUCUAUGGUCAGUGAGGGAUCUAGAAAAAUAAUUUAUCGGGGACUAAAUUAAAUGACAACAAAAUAUAAAAACUUAAAUUUGAAUAUAUAAAAUUUUUUAUAACACAUUUUCAAUUGUUCUCUACGCGAUUUCAUAUUCUAAAAAUAUUGUGUAAUAGAUUCAUUAUCAAUACUAUUAAAUACAUCUUUUUCUACAUAAACAAUCAAAUUAUUAUUUAUCCAUUCAUCUUCCAUCUGAUUCCGAAAUUCAUUCUUCAUAAAUUUUAUUACUGAAAAUAUUCUUUCUACUGUAGUUAUAGAAACUGAAAAAACGGAACUAUUUAAUAAUCUGACAUGAAUUAUUUAAAAAUUUAUUAAUUUUUCUUUUAAACAAAAAGGAUUUGUUUUUUCAGUGGGGCCCUACACUACAUCCGCCUCUGUCUACGGUGAAGUUUAAUUUAUAUUUACCACGUUAGGGAUCCUGGACUUGUGACACUGACAAGCCGCAACGCAUUUAAUUUUCAUGUGGUUCUUUACUUUGAUUAUUCCAACCCAAUCGUCAAUCUCCCAAUAAUAAUAGACUUAUCCUUCGAAGUCUUCUUUUGAAUCUAUUACACUCCAAUAACAGCUCUCCAACUGGUGAAACUCAAUUGUUUAAGGUUGGUUUUUCAUACACGAAACACUUGUUACGUCACUUAUGAGGUGGCAUUUCAAUAAGUUUUAAUCGUUUUGUGGAAUGAGUGGAAUAAGGAGCUUCUUUUCUUUCUACGGGAAAACACUUAAUUUAUUUAUUUCGUCAUAGUACUUUCGGGAACGGGCCAAGAAAUCUCCUUAAACUAUCCAUCGAUAUUUUAAUUUUGAUUUUUUUAAUAUAAAUUUAUUCCUUCAACUACAAUUUGUUUCUCAGUUCAGCAAAAGUAGAUUGACUAACUAACAAUAUAAAUAAAAGCAAUUAAUGAAUAGCACAUAAGAUUUAUCAAACAAAAAAAAAAAAAUAGCCGAAUGAGAGAAACCCCAAAAAUGAUAUAAAAUUACAAAAUUUCUCCAAAUUUUGGACAGGAUAUAGCCAACAAGUGACGUUGGCACGUUGGCAGUAGUUAAAACAAUUCGACCUUAUAUCUGUUUUGGUUCUUAUACAAUAAAACUCUUUAAUAAUAAAUUUGUCAAUCACAUACACCCCUAAGGCAAAGCUACGAGCCUAGUGAUUUUUGAAAAAUCUCUUGCAAGUCUUAAUAAAAUAAUCAAUAUUCAUAGUGGUCCCUAACACAAUUCUUUUUUAUCUUAAUAAAAUUAAUACUUAAUAAUGUCACAUUAGUCCCUAACAAAAAUUCAUAUACUUAACUAAAAAAAAAUCAUAGUAGUCUAAGUAAAUAAGGUUUAUUGAAAAUUUAUUUUAAUUCAAAAUAGGUUAAAAUAAGUUUAUAAUUUCAUCAUUGAUGCAUGCUAUUUUUAAAACUCACAACAAUAGAAUAAUUUAUCAAACAUCUAGUUACUUUUGUCCAUGUAAUUAUUAAUUUCAUUGACACAAUAUAACCAAAUUAUUUAUAACUAGCAACAAUCCCAAAAUGGGUCUUAUUUUUGGGAGCCUUAAAAUUUUAGCUGUAUUUAUUUGUUUUCUUUUUUCCAAAUACGAUUGUUAAUUCAUUUCAAAAAAAAAAAAAAGCACUUGAAUUUGGCCAGAUGUUCUUGAAAAGUUAUUCUUAAAAAUAAAAAAAAAGUGCUACAUAAAUAAAAUUAUAUGUUAAGUUUGUAUAUCAAGUGACAUGAUAUAUGAUGUAUCUGGUCGUUUAAUAAUAAUUAAUGUUAAUAAUUAGCACGUUAAUGAUGGAAUAAUAAAACGCAUUAUUACUUAACUCAUUGCCGUCAAUUAUUUUCUAUUUUUCAUGUCUGUUUAAAUUGUAAAUUACAUUGGGGGAAAAAAAAUCUACUUUACUUUGAAAAGUUUGAUUCUGCGUUGGUUUCACCCAAGCUUUCAAAAGCCACAGUGAACAAUUCAAGAUUUUUUUACUGAGAGCCACAAGGCAUUAAUAUGGAAUAGGGUGAAGAGAUCACAUCACAAGAAGUCCUGGACAUCCAUCUUUCGGUGAUCCCGUUUUUAUUUGAAAAACAAGACGUGGUACCAUCCUGGACGUCCAUCAUUCCCACGAUUUUACAAGCCUUUGCACUUGCCCGUCGAAAAAGGUAGCUUCCAGGUACUUUCGCCGGUUUAAGCACCCCCAAAGCUAUAAAAAACCUUUUCAAAUUGGUGCACUUUUUGGGCAGCCAUUUUGCCACUAUUUGAUAUUUUAUUGUAAAAGCUCAGAUUUAUACCUUAAUUUUUUUAAACCUUUUUUAUUGUACUUUUUAAAUUUAUAAUUUAUUAACUUUUUUAUUAGAUUAUGUAUUAAAAUUUGUGUUAAAAAAAUUCAAACUUUAGAUAUAUGUUAUGGUUAAAUUAAACAAAUAUUAAAAAGUGUAUUUCAUUUGAAAAUAAAAUAUAUAUUCUUUUAUUUUCUGAGCAUUUAUUGGGUUUAUGAAAAGGAGCAUUUUUUUAAAAGAAUAUUAUAUAAAUUCUUUUAUGUUUUUGAGCACUUAUUUCAUUAAAAACCGUCAAAAGGCACACGUGUCAUGAAGAGAGAGAAAAACCGUGCAAAUGCAGGCAAUAGGAGUUGGCCUCCAUCCUACAAAUCCCCCAAGGCCCCAAGAGCUCAGCCCUUUCAUAUGGUUAGCUGAGAGCUAAAAUCUUCUUCCAUUGCAAAAUUAUGAGGUUUUCUUUUGACAUUCAAUUUCCAGAAAUGAAUUGUCCUGUUGAUGUGAGACUCGUGUUUCCACCAUUGCUAAAUUUUGUAGUCUUCUUUUUGUUCCUGAGAUCUCAAGAUGGUCAGUCUUGGUCCCUCCAGGAUGGAGCCAACCACAUACUUUUGUACCCAAUUUUAAAGCUUCCAUUCCCCUUCCUGAGUCUUGCCGUCCUGAUAUUACUCCUCUUUCUCCUCACAGCCAUCAGGGUUCCUCUCAGAGUGAGCAGCCCCAUGUCCGUGAGUUGUGGAGAUCAUCUCCCUUGUCUGUUGGCAAUAUCAACAAUCGCGUCUCUCAUUUUGGCCCCAUCUCUUUUCUUGGUGGUUUAUCUGUGUCUCAUGAUCCUAUCACUCUUUUAUGUAAUGUCAACUUCUCUGUUCAAGCGCUUCUGCAAAGGACGCACUGUUGUUCCUGAAUCUGAUGGUCAAGUUGAAGUUGGACAUGAAGCUGAAGCUGAAGUUGAAGUUGAAGUUGAAGUUGAAGUUGAAGUUGAAGUAGACGGUGGGCGCAUCCAAGACCUGCAGCCAAGUCCAUCUGGGGAUAUGAUGUGAUUGUGGUGACUUGAGCUUCCAUAGUUCCAUGCAACCACUACUACCUAUGGCUGGCUAGAGGUGCUACAGCAAUAAUAUAUUCUUCUGUUUUAAUUUUUUUUUUUAAGAAAAAGAUAAAAAUCAGUUCAGUUGUGUCAGUUAUGCAUACGAUUCCGUAUAGACGACCAGACAACGAAUUUAUUUUUUUUAAUAAUAUUUAUGAGAUUCGUGUGUCUCUCUCUGUUAAUUUUCACUUUGUCUCCCCAUCAACACGCAGUACUAACGUUGAAAAGAAUAUUAUGUAUAAAUGGUUUUGACGGCUCUGGUGUUGGAGUUGAUGGUUUGGAAGGCACUGGAGCUGGCGACGAUGGUUUAAACGGUUGAGGUGUCGGAGCUGGUGUAAGUUGUGGAGGUGAAAGUCGGGGUGGAAACUGCACUGGUGGUGGAUAUUGGACUGAAGGAGGUGGUGGAGGUGAAGGUAGGGGUGGAGAUUGCCGUGACUGCACUGGUGGAGGUGAAAUUGGGGCUGGAGAUUGUAUUGGUGGUGGAGGAGAGUUCGCGGGUGGUGGUGGAGAUUGCACUGGUGUUGGAGGUGGGGGAGAUUGCCCUGGUGGUGGGUACUGAACUGAAGGUGGUGGAGGUGAAGGUGAGAAUGGAGAUCUUACUGGUGGAGGAGGAGAGUGCAUAGGUGGUGGGGGAGAUUGCACUGGUGGUGGAUAUUGAACUGAAGGAGGUGGUGGAGGUGAAGGUGAGGGUGGCGAUCUUACUGGUGGAGGAGGAGAGUGCACAGGUGGAGGUGGGGAAUGCACUGGUGGUGGAUAUUUAACUGAAGGAGGUGGUGGAGGAGAUUCUAGCAGAGGUGAAGGUGGUGGGGUGAACUGAACCGAUGAUGGUGGAUAUUGAACUGGUGCAAGCAAUGGUUUUGAUGGUUCAGGUGCUGGUGCCGAUGGUCUCCAUGGUUGGGGUGGAGUAUGUGAUCUAACUCUCCAAUUUCUUCAGUUAAGCUUUAGUUCUGGUAAUUCAUUACGAUUUCUUUGUUAAAUGAAUACGUGCGGCCCGCAGAUAAAUUAAAAUAAUAAUUUAAAGAAACUUAUUUUAUUAAUAGCUGCUUCUCAAUUCUCAUUGUGAUGUUUUAAAGAAACUUAUUUUAUCUUAAUUGUUCUUUUUAUAUUUAUAUUUACAUUUUGUUUUAAUAUAUAUGUAUCUAUUAUAUAUACCAAUUCAGCUUUAUAAAUUAAGAUUUUACAUUUAUAAAUUUAAAAUAAAAAAUCAGGAUUAACGUACCCCACCUAAUGUUCAAAGAUUCGCAAAUAGACACAAUGAGAAAAGAUGAGAUAAGGUCUUCAAAACGGGUCCCAUGCACGCGACAUUUAACAUGUUUGAUCAUUCAUUAAGAUCCAAUCAUAUAGCUAGUAAAAUUUUUCUUCUUCGGUCAUUCAUUAAGAUCCAAUCAUAUAGCUAGUAAAAGAAAAAUAUUGUAAUUAAUUAGUCUAUAACAAAAAAAUUCAGUUUUGUAGUAGUGAGUUUAAACUUUUAAAGUUCUCAUAAAGUAAUGUUUCUUUGAAAUUUUUUAAAUUUAAUCUUUUAGAGUGAAGAAGAAAUUGAAAAUUGAAAAAAAAAAUUAUUAAGAAUAUGAGAUUAUGUUAUGGUACUGCUCACCAGUGCUGAAGCCUCCAUCGAAUGAAUGGAAUAUUAAAUUUAUUUCCAAAUAAAAAAUAAAAAUAACAUUAAUUUGACGCUUAUAACAUGCAAGAAAACUCUGAGGACGAUGGUGGGUGUUAAUGGAAAGUUUUUUCUGACAAAAAAGAAAACAUUUUACCAUAUAGCCUCAAUAUGAAAGAAUAAUCAAGGUGAAGCUGAACUUUAAUUCUGGUAAUUCAUUACGGUUUCUUCGAUAAAUGAAUACGUGGAUAAAUUAAAUUAACAAACAAUAGUUGCUUUUGUCAUGUUUUAAAGAAACUUUACUUUAUCUUAAUUGUUCUUUUUAUAUUUACAUUUACAUUUUGCUUUAAUAAAUAUGCAUCUAUUAUAAUAUUAAAUUUAAUAAUUGUAUUUACAUUUAUUAUAUUUAAUUUUUUUUCUUUUGGAAUGGAACGUGUUUGUUUUUUUAUUGUGUCAAUGUCAGUGGAUCUCGUGAAAUGACAGGGAGCUUUUAGUUUAGUUGCUAUUUUCGUCUUUAUUAAAGAAAAGAGCUAAAAAGCACUUUUCCGCUUCUUGUACUUAUUUCUAUAUUGGCUCUUUUUUUGUUUUUAUCGUAAUAUUUAUGAUUUUUCAGGAAAGAAGCGGUUGUUUAGUUAUUUAUGAUACGGAGACCGGCAUAUUAAUAAAAUUUUGUGUCAAAUUUAUUCUUUUUUUUUUUAAACUUUUAUACUGACCGUUUUCUAUACAUAUAUACCAAUUCAGCUUUUUAAAUUAAGAUUUUACAUUUAUAAAUUUAAAAUAAAAUAAUAAGGAUGAGACGAAAGUUUUCAAAACGGGUCCCAUGCACGUGACAUUUGACAUGUUUCUUUGAAGAUGACAAGAGUCGUAUGUUUUUCUUCGUUGAGAAGGAAUUGGACCACGUUGCAGCAUUAGGACUGUAAGUCGCUGCCUUAUCUACAUGUGUCUCCUGGCCUUUCUCUUCCCCAGUUCAAGUUCUUGGCGGAAAAUAAUUCUUACGUACCCAAAAAAAAAAAAAAAAAUUCAAAUAGAGCGUUGGGGGCUUCAAGGGAUUAUCCAUGGAGUCAUCUGUAGAUCAAAAACCAGCUCCGUCCCUCCGUUUGAUUUCUCCUGAAGAAGAGGUUUGAUCGAUAUUUUCUUUCUUUUUCAUUUUUACUCCUUUUUUUUUUGUAGUUUUAUUUUUUUUCUGUGCCCACCCAAAGUUAUGCCUGCAGCUGGAACCGAACAUAUAAAAUUUAAGAAUGAUUUAGAAUGCAUGUUAAGUAAUUAAUUUUAUUACCUUAUAACCUAGUAAUGGCGGACCUAUUACUUCAUGAAAUGGGAAAAUCAUGUGGAAUAUUGAAUUGUGGACUUGAUCCUGAUCUAGUGGCUUAUUGGGAAAUAUCUGAAGUUGUUUUGAUCGAUUAAUAUUAGCUUUAGGAGAAGAUCUAAUACUUGUAUGGGUUCUUACAAUUUCUUCUUCGGUCAUUCAUUUAGAUCCAAUCAUAUAGCUAGUAAAAGAAACAUAUUGUAAUUAAUUAGCUAUAACAGAUUUGAUCUGACUGUACCACAAGGAUUUGUGUGUGUGUUAAUGACUACAGUCCAAUUAAUAACUGGAAACUCAGCAACCAAUUCCAACAAUGAGCUUUCAAAGAAUAAAGGCGUUAAAUAUCCCAAGUUAUCAAAAUGUGACUGUAGAAAAGUUUAUUUUGAGUAGAUUAACUCAGAAGCUUGGUAGACUUCAGGCAAUUACAUGUGUAAAUCUGUUUGAAGCUUUAAUUACUUGUGGACUAAGGGAAGAGUGAAUAUACAUUGCAUUUAUAAACUGUAAAUACAAUAAUUUAAUCCAUUGUCUACUUCUAAUAAAUAAUCUGUUAAUCAAUUUUGAUGUCUUUUUGUAGUAGAUGUACGAUCUUAUUCAAAUCGUUCUAUGUUGAAUGAAAUUUUAAUUUAUUUCAAAGUCAAUAGUAUAAGUAGACAGUUGAUUAAGAAAAAUGCUUUUCACCAUAGAAAUGCUAAAUAUUUGCCUUGAUGGGGUUGAGGUAAGUGGCUAAAAAUGAUUUGCACCAAAUUGGAUUCAGCCCCACCCAUAGAUUGUCUACCAUUACAUGUAUCAUCUCCGAAUUGCACGGUAAGAUGGAAUCUUAUUGAUGAUAUUAUCUCACAUUGAAGGAGAAUAAUAACUAAGCUAACAAUAUAAACCUGAGGAAUUUUUUAUUGUUGAACUAAUUCUUGGGUUGAAUUGGACCACGGGUUUCUAUAAAUUUAAAACCCCAAUUGGAAUCAACCCCACACACUAAAGGCUUAUCAAACUCUUCUGAGACCAAAGUCCUUGUGAGAUCCCGCAGUAAUCUUGUAUGUCAAAAGAGGAGAAAAGGGUGUGUUCAAGUGGGUUGGUUGAAGAUUGUUGGCGUCUUCCCUUCAUAAACCUGAAGAUAUAGAGUUUAAAUUUUCAUUUUCCCAUUUUCACUGUGCCAUUGUAUUUUUUAACUUUUGUAAGAAAAUCCUUUCAUCUGAAAUCCAUCCAUCUAAUUUCAUGUUUUGGGAGAGACUUUCCAGGUUUUGAAGUGGCAAAGUAAAAUGGGGUUAAGAACCUUUCUACAUCUCAUUAAAUGUACCAAAACUUAUAACUUAAAGAAUUGGAAGUAAUUCUAAGUUCAGGGGCUUCUUUCAACAGCAUUAUUCAUUAUAUAUAUAUAAGAGAAUCUAUUAUGCCAUGACUAAAGAAUUUGAGAGGCUUUACGUACAAAUGAAAGAACAGUAACCAGAGUUCAGCUUUUAACCUCAGUUUUUUUCCCCCCUCCCUAAUAUAAACCCUUUCUUUAUGAAGUUAUUUAUUUUAUAUUCUAUCGCUGUAUAUUAAUUUCAUUUGAAGCUUGUUAUAUUUCAUGUAUCCGUAAAUCAUAUCUGUUGAUAUCGUUUCAUGAUGAUUAGCGUCACACUGAGACAUUGGAGAUCUGUCCUCUGGUUGUGCCCUUUCUCAUGGCAUGUUCUAUGGUUGGUUUCCCAUUUUAUCCUCGCAUCUGCAAAGCUUGAAGCUUUUUAUAACUUAAAGACAAUUAAAUAUGGUGUUGCUUGUUUUCUAUGAUGUUGUCAGAUGGUCCAACAAAAAGUUUUGGAAAUUGUUGGUGUCUCUCUGAAUGAGUCAGAAAACUUUUAAUUUGAGCUAUUUUGCAGGUGUUCUGGUUGCUUUUAUGUGAAAUUUUCCUUGUUGGCCUUUAGUUCGUUCAAAGAAGAUAGAGCUGACAUUUGACUGCAAGGUUCAUUAUAUCAACUUUUUUAACUCUUUUUUUUUUAAAUUUUAUUCUUGUCUUUUUUUAACUCUUUUUUUUUUUUUUUUUUUUUCUUGUCUAUCUGUUAUUAUCCAAAUGUCUAUUGGUCAUAAUACAGUGGUGGCUUGGAGAGUUAUUGUAAUGCUCCGAAUUUAUCCUAAGUUGAAUUUAUCUAUUUAUUUUAUAGUUGCGUGUGUUUAUUUUAUUAUUAUUGUUAUUGUUUUAAUUUUAAUUGUUCUAGAACUUCCUCUAGUUUUAAUUGUUCUAGAACUUCCUCUAGUUUUUUUUUUUUUUAAGAAAAUCUAUAACUAAGACCAGCCCACAACCAACUUAUAUGGUUUCUUUAUUCUUUUGUUAAGCUCUGUAACAAACAAAACCAACGUUCAGGGGUGAUGAUGAUGAUGAUGAUAAGAGGGACAAGAAUAACAGAGACAUAACGAGGAAAAACAAAAGAAGAGAGAAGAAGAAGAAAAAGAAAUGGAGGGAAGGAGAGCAAUUGAUUUUUACAGACAAUAAUUGUGCACUUAAGGGAGCUGAGAACAACAGCAAGUAUGAAAUUUAUGGGAAACCAACAUGGCUUUCGCUGGAUUUUCUCAUAAUUCUUACUCUUUAGACCUGGUUUGGGUAAGUUUCCGUACAUGCAUGGUUCAAUUUUGCAAUCUUCUUACUUUUAUUAAUGUUGUUUUUUUUUUUCCACUUUGUUUUCUUAAUUGUUUCCUUGCUAGCUGCUGCUGUAACUUACAGCAAGUUUAGGAUUGUGUUAAAUUUGGGAUUCUUAAAUUAUUGGCAGUAUAGUUGGUUAAUUUUUGUCGCUGUAUUAUCAAUAGGAGUGGAGUUAGAUGAGAUGAGAAGUCUUUGGAGAACUACGAGCUGUUGGUGGAGGAUUGAGGUAGGUGGUUAUAUGCAAUUGAGUGAUUUUGUUUCUCAAAACCAAAAAAUCAAGUUGUUUUUCUUGCUCAAUAAUCUGAAUUUUUUUUUUAGUCCUUAAAAGUUGUUUUGCUUAGAUUUAAUGUGUUAAUGGCUUAAUUGCUUCCUUUAAUAAUUAAUGCAGUGGGUGUGUGGUUAGCCAUUUAAUUACGUGACCAUAUGGCUAAAAUAAAAAUUGACAUGUUAGAAUUAUCAACAGGAUUGCAAUUUUUAAUUGAAGACCAUGUAUUCAUAUUACUUGAAUCAGUUAUGAUAGUUAAUUUGGGUUGAUGCAAUCAUGAAUGAGAAUUAAACUUUAACUGUGAUAUGAGCCAAGUUUGGAAUAGGAAGUUUAGCUGAAUUGUGUUUAUGGGUCCUGCAAUGAUAUGGUGCUUUGAUUGCAGUUCAAGUUUGUGGAUGUGUUGUUAAACUGGGCAUGUACUGGGGUUCUGUUAUCCAUGGCUAUUGUUAUUGAGAAGUAUCAUGGGUGUGGUGUGUUAUUGUAAGGAAACUUACAUUGAUGCUAUUGAAUGAGUUAAUAAUUUUUAUUCCUUUUAUUUAAGUUGAGGUUUCAGAAGGUUAAAUGGUGAUGGUCAGAUUCCUGUCCCACGGUGAAGCCCACAAAAGAAAUUAUGGGUGAUGGCCCCUGGGAAUAACACCCCAAAAGUACGCUAUGCUGGAAUGACCUUGGUCAGAUUUCUACCCCCGGUGAAAGUCUGCAAAAGAAAUCAUGGGCGGUGGCCCCUGGGAAUAAUGCCCAAAAGUAUGUAAGGUAUUUCUUUUUAAAUUUAUUAUUGGUUGAAAAUGUUUGCCGAGGAUUUACAGCUUACUGACUUGUCAGGUGUGUUUUUAUUCUGUAUUUUUGAAUGAGUAAUUUUAGGAUUUCUUUACUCUUAACUACAGGGAGUAUUUUUCCCAAAAAAAAACUACAGGGAGUAUGAGCAGCACUGUGUUUGUAUGUGUGUAUGUUGUUAUAAACUUGUCUUUUUUCAUUACUGUUGAAUACCAACUUUCCAACUCAAAAAGUUUUAAGAAAUAAAUAUUUUUUCAUAUGUAUAAAUGGUUUAUGUUAGAAAUGUACCCAAGUUAUGUGAAUUAUUUUGGCGUAAAAAAAAAAAAAAAAGGAUCCUUUGUAGUGUGUGGCUUCCUACUGGGCAUUAGCUCACCCCUUACUUUUCAGGUUUUGGCAGUGGUGGUGAAAAAAUUGUGGUCGGUGGAGCAUUGAUUUUGAUUUGGGGCUUAACAUGGAGAUUACCUCUUUUGAAAGUUGUGUUUUGUAAUGAAGAACAGUCUUUGUUAUUUUUGUUCUGGUUGUACUUUGGCAUUACUGGCCUAGUAAACAUCGUAAGCUACCUUAUUGUAGAUAUUAUGCUUUUUAAUACAUGUAUUUAGAAUGACUAAGCAACAUUAGUAUGAUGCACUAAUAUGUGUUAUUGUUAUAGUAAUAGGGUCCCAGAGGCCCCUGUAUUGUAUUGACCGGUACAGUAGUAGAGUUGACUUGAGAAGGUUAUGUUUUAUUUAUUUAUUUAUUUUUUUAAUUUUUUAAUUUUUUAAUUUUUUAAUUUUUUAAUUUUUUAAUUUUUUAAUUUUUGAAGUUUUAAGCAGCUGGGUAUAAAAAUUGCUGGUUUGAUAUAUUGUGUAAUGUCCAUAUUUUAGGGGAGAGAAUGUCAAAGUUUUCUGGAAGUGCUGGGUUUUAUUCAUCUCUAUAAGUGCAUGUUUGUUCUUGUAAGCAAACAGUCACAGCUUAAUUGUUAAAAGCUCAUACUUGCACCUGAUGUGGAUAAAAUUUUCUUAUCACACGUGUCCUUAAGUUAGGGGCCUAAGUGUUUGUUUAUGGACAUUAUUCCAAUAAUAAUUCUUUAAAAUAUUCCUAUUGAACGUAUUUUACUUUUGUCCAUUUUCAAGAUUAUUUUUGAAAAUGAUACUGAUCACAUUUUUAAAUUUUAAAAAUAAAUUUAAAAAUAGAAUUUUCAUUCUCAAUUUUGUUUCAUGAAAACAACAUUUGGAAAACAAUACUGAACAGGGCCUAAGUGUUUGUAGGUUCUUUUUAUGACAUAAAUAAGUCAUUGUUCUGAUUUUAGGAUUAUUUAAAAUGCAGAUAUUUACUAUCAUUUUCUGUUCGCAAAAUCGUUAAUUCUUGAAAAUUUUCAUAUUUUGCUUGUCAUUGGUAUGGAUUUAUUCAUUUAAUGGUAUAUUGAGUAUAUUAUGAUGUUGUUUUGUUCCUUUAUUAGUAUUAGGAGAAGUAUUUAGUGGUUCUAUGGGUUUUUAGUUUCUUCUUCAGCCGUAUUUUCUCUGUCUAAAGGUUAAGGUCCUGUAGUUCAUGUGUUGAUUGUUUGGUGGGGAUUACCUUUGGUAGCAAUUCCAUGAGGUAUAGGCAUUAAAUAACCCAAUUUGUUUAAAUGCACCCUUGGAUUGUAUUUUGAGCAGAUUAACUGAAAAUCUUGGUAGGAAUUUAGGCAAUCAAGUAAGUCUGUCAGAAAUUUAAAAUUGGUUUGGGAAUCAGUUGUCUGUUAAACAAAUGUUUGCGGAUACAUGCAUUGAUUCUCAAUAAUGUUAUUGAUUUUGGGAUGCUCCAAGUUCUUGUAGCUCUUCGCUAAUGGAAAAUGUUUUUUGCUUUUUUGGCGAGGAUAGAAACCCAAGGUUAUCUGGCAGUGUGAUGAUCUAGGUCUUUUUUGGGUUAUUUGGCAAGAUUGCAUUUUUGAAGAUAAGAGGGAAGACUAAGUUUCUGGUCUAUGGGACAAUGUUCACUUUUGGUUAUUUUGAUCAUGCCUGAUGCCUCUAGUCAUUGUUUUGGAAAGCAAUGUGGUUCUCAUUAUAUUGCUCAAUUCCAAUAGCUUAUUUUUCUUGGUCUAACUUCACCAUUCUGUGUUUUCUUUUGAAUGAAGUCCCAGCGGCUAUAAGUGCUAAGAGUUAUUUUACUAGUGAAACUGAUCAACGAGCUGUUUUACUCUUGAAGACAAAUCUCUGUAACAAUAGAGUCUAGCACUGCAGUUAAAUAUACAAUAAAUGACUGUGGUUGCAUUAAAUUGAAGGUUGGAAGUCAGGGAAAUUGAUUGAUUGUGCGUUUGGGGCCGCUGCGCACCCUGAAUGCAUCUUUUAACAUCAGUAACUGCACUGAUUGUUUCCAUUUCAGGUUUUUGUACAUUCAUUCAUAUUUUUGCAAGGAAACUGUGUUCCUUAAAAGUUAUAUGAGCUAUGCUUGCAGAAGAUUAAACAUGGUUGUUUCUUUAAUACACAAUUGAUGGUUUUUGAAGUAUUUUCCCCAAGAUUUUCUACUAAUUAAAUCCUUAAUAAGUUUCAUAUACAUAUUUAUAGUCGCAUGUUUUAUGAGAAGGAAAGAAUUUAAAAAAAUCAUCAGGUACUGCAUGGGAGUGGAUAUUCUUCUAAACCACUUAUACCAUACAUUACAGAAUAUCUCCUUUAAUGUUAUCUAAGCGCCUUUUACCUUCUAUUCUUUUCUAUUCUUUUGUUUUUGUGAAGUACUUAGCUGAAAGUGAAAGACCAUAUUUUUUCCUUUGUUGGGUGGGUGGUUCUUUUCUUUGACGUCAAUCAUUUGGCUUACUUGAGUGGUGAUAUUUUGAUUUUGAAGUAAAUUAGGUCAUUUUCUUACUUGACCAUGGUAUUGCCAACAUGAGUCUGUGUUUGAUGGUUGAUGUGUCGCUAGAUAUAUCUUCUUGAUUAAGAAUGAUUACGGAAGAAAUUUAAUGAAACAUUCAUUAAGGGUUUAUAAAUGAAUUUAAUGGGUUUAAUGAGUAAAAAUACUAUUUUUGUACAAACUGGGUUUCAUAAAGGUACAUUAGUUAUUUAGGUGAAUUUAUCGAGUAAAAUUUAAGAUUUCAAAAGAUUAGGAUAAGUUUAUUUAGUGAAUAAAUUUAAUGAUUAGUUUAGUGGGUUAAAAUCACAUCACCUUUACAAUAAAAAUAAGCUGUCUUAUUUACAGGGUAUAUAAUUAUACAAUUUAAAAGAAAAGAAGCUGUUGCCUUCGAAGACUCUCACUUCAAAUCAAAGUUUCAUUUUUCUGUUCAGUAUUAGCAUAGAUUGUGUGUGCAUGAUUGGAUGUUACAGGCUACUUUCUGUUUUGCAAGCGUUAAUUUAUUGACAAUGCAUCUCUUUUAUCUCCUUCAUCAUGUGGGAAACCUCAUUGGUUAAUACUCAAUCAAAGGUCAACAACGACAUAGGAGGGACAAAUCUUGGCCAUUAAUUGUAAACACUGCCACAUGUAACAAGAUCCAAAUAGUGCAUAACCUUGUUUCCUUUUUUUUAGAAAAACAAAGUUCGAAAGUUAUAAUGGCGUUACUUUUUUUUUCCCCCCCUUUCUUUCUUCUUCUUCUUCUUCUUCUUUUUGGGCGUAUGGUAGUUUGUUUUAUAGGCGGUUCCAUAUGAUGCUGAGAAGGGGCUCUAUAUAAAAGCCAUAUAGGCUUCCCAAUCUGAAGACCCUAAACUUAAUCACAGUCAUCUUGAAUUUUUUUUAUUUGAGAUUUUUAUUUCCGCCAAUAUUAAAUCUUUUAAUCUUCAUUAUGAACUCGAAAUCUCAGGAUGCCAAUUAAAUCUUAUAUAUAUACUUGGCAUGUGGGACAAGUAAUUAAUGUUCAUUUUUGCCAUCCUUUUGGAUGCUUGUCUGCAAGUUGAUACCUUCCUCAGGAAGUUUCCUUCAGUGGAUUGUGAAUAUUGAAUUUUCGAACUUCCGAUCGAUGUACAGAGACUUGGUCGAUACAAAUCUAGUGAGACGAGAGACACUAUAACAACAGGUGUUGCAAUCUAUUAUCUACAUAUAUAUAUAUAUAUAUACACGUAAUAGGCACAAGUCUAAUGUGACAUCAUCUUUUGCUAAAUGUGACAUUCGAUUGUACUUUUUUUUUUCCUUUUUAAUGUGGAUUUCAGUUCUCCAAUGGGGGACAGGCAUUCCAUGGCACAGGUUAACAAGCUUCCGGCAAAAAAGCAGACGAAAUGCCCAGCAGCUGAAGUGUUAUUUUUUUGCUUCAAAACGAAAAAGGUUAUGGACGUUUUGUGAGGGAUUCAGCUUGUUCUGAAUUCAUUCUUCCGUAAUUUUCAUUUUUAAUUUGUAUGAUAGGAUCGCCUGAAUUUACACUGGUUAAAAGUAGCAGCGUAGCUAUAAAUUUUGGCACCGAUAGUGCUUAUAGUUUAAUUUGAUGAUACCGACAUCAUACGUUCUUGUGUUUUUGUUUUGAAUUUAUGCCAUCACCAAUUGAAAGCCUUAUCUCAUUGAUAUUGUUGCAUUUUUCCGUUAUUGCUUAAGAAAAUGGCUUAGGGCCGUCCGACCAAAUGAACUACUAAUCAAUAGCGGAACAAGGAUAUCCACUUAUUGUUAUAUGUUAUCUCAUUUUAUAUAUAUAUAAGAUAUGACAUAUAAUAAUAAUUUUUACUAAUAAAAUUAUCAAAAAGCAAGUUGAGUUUAAUUUAUUUUGGGAAAUAUUGGGAUUAUUAGUUAUUUAUUAAAUAAGAAAUAAUAUGUAUUAAAUCUGAAUCAUAAUUAUAUUAUUAUAAAUACACAAGUGAUACGAGAUUAUAUAUAUAUAUAUAUAGCACAAUUAAUUUAAUAUUUGAUCUAAAGUUCUAGAGUCUCAUCUUGCAUUCACCAUGCUGAGAUACUGCAGCCUAAAAUUUUAAACGAAUUAAUAUUGCAUGAAAGUAAAAGAAUAAUGGUCUAAGAUUUUAAAUUACAGCAGAUUUUGAGCGAACCAAAAAGAAAAUAAUGAUAUAAGAUUCUAAAGAAAAUUCAUAUCUAAGAAUUCAGUCAAAUGACAAUAUUAUUUUCUUAAUUUUGAAUUUUCGAUCCUUGUCAAAAUAAUAAAGAUAAGUUUAUCGACGUCGGGGACCACGCAAAAAUAGAUGCUUUUGCGGACGUGUAGCCGCCAGUGGCGUGCUUGCUCUCCUGCUUUUAACUGGAGUUUCUCUGCCCAUUUUGACAAGUCUCUCUCUCUCUAAAUAAUUGUUUUCUUCCUUGUUUAUGACAAAGCGAAUUAAUUUAAUCAAAUAAAUACUAAAAUAAACAGAUAAUAAGAAGAAUAAGAAGAGGAGGAAUAGGCGUUACGCAAUGAUGAGAUUAAGUGCUUGCGGGCUGGUGAAAUUGCCGACACAAGAGUGAGUGACGUUUGUCGUCUUGUGAGUAUACUCACCGUUGUUUCUCUUUCGCUCGAUGCAAAUCUCCUCCGGGACGUCCCUAAUCAACCAGAUCCAGCUAUACAACCUAAUCAAGCCUGCUGCGUCAAACCUUCAUUGAAUGGGAAUUCAAAUUCGAUGACAUCUAACUGCCUAAACCUAAGGCGAAUACGUGAACAGAGACUUUUCUCUGCUGCUGUAGCUGCUAGGAUACUAAAAUUGUCUGCUUUAGCUAACCAGGGGCUUGCUAAGGGUAUUCAUACAUGAAUACCCUUAUCAAUCCCCUUACUGGUGUCGUUGAUUUUGGCUGGAAUUUGGUGGUGGAGGACUGAAUUUUGAGGAGGAUUGUGUGGAAGAGAUGGAACUGUUGUGGUAAUUUGAUGGUUAAAACGACGCCGUUAUAUUUGUCACGACCGGCUGUGGAAGGGAGCCUUUUGCGUUGAUUAUUUUUGGUGACCGGCUUCAACCACUUGAAUAAGUUUUAAUUUAUCACUGUUAUGUUCACUUAGCAUGAGUUUAUUGGUCAACUAAUCAUUUCACUGAUUGUAUGUUGCGAUAAAUGUAAUUUAGAGGAAUCCUUGUGUUUGUGGGUGUGAAUAUGUCUUAGUCCAGGUCUGACAAAAUAGAGGGCCAAAUCAGAGAUUUUAUCAUCUUUUGUCUUUAGAUAUCUGUCAGGCUGCCACAGUACAAGUGUAGGUUCUCUUUUGUCUUUUUCUUGCUUUUACUCUCUCCUUGGUUUUAUGAAAAUGUGGCCGUGAGGAAUGUUGCCAUCCCAUAAAUCCCCUAAGAGCUCAACUAGCAGCCCUCUCUUAUGGUUAGCUGAGAGCUCAAAUCUUCUUCCAUUGCAAAAGUAUGAAGUUUUCUUUUGACAUUCAGUUUCCAGAAAUGAAUUGUCCUGUUGAUGUGAGAUUCUUGUUUCCACCAUUGCUAAAUCUUGUAGUCUUCUUUUUCUUCCUGAGAUCUCAAGAUAGUCAGUCUUGGUCCCUCCAGGAUGGAGCCAACCACAUACUUUUGUACCCAAUUUUAAAGCUUCAAUUCCCCUUCAUGAGUCUUGCCGUCCUGAUAUUACUGCUCUUUCUCCUCACAGCUAUCAGGGUUCCUCUCAGAGUGAGCAGCCCCAUGUCCGUGAGUUGUGGAGAUCAUCUCCCUUGUCUGUUGGCAAUAUCAACAAUCGCGUCUCUCAUUUUGGCUCCAUCUCUUUUCUUGGUGGUUUAUCUGUGUUUCAUGAUCCUAUCUCUCUUUUAUGUAAUGUCAACUUCCUUGUUUAAGCGCUUCUGCAAAGGAUACACUGUUGUUCCUGAAUCUGAUGGUCAAGUUGAAGUUGGACAUGAAGCUGAAGCUGAAGUUGAAGUUAAAGUAGAAGGUGGGCGCAUCCAAGACCUGCUGCCAAGUCCAUCUGGGGAUAUGGUGUAAUUGUGGUGACUUCAGCUUCCAUGCAACUACUACUACCUAUAGCUGGCUACAGGUGCCACAGUAAUAAUAUAUGCUUCUGUUUUAAUUUUUUUUUUUUUUUAAGAAAAAGAUAAAAAUCAGAUCAGUUGUGUUAGUUAUGCAUACGAUUCCGUAUAGACGACGCAGACAACGAAUGCUUUUUUUUAAUAAUAAUAUUUAUGAGAUUCGUGUGUCUCUCUCUGUUAACAAUUUUCACUUUGUCUCUCCAUCAACACGCAGUACUAAAGUUGAAAAGAAUAUUAUAUAUAAAUUACUUUUCUUCUUCAGUUAAGCUUUAGUUCUGGUAAUUCAUUACGAUUUCUUUGUUAAAUGAAUACGUGCGGCUCACAGAUAAAUUAACACAACAAACAAUAGUUGCUUCUCAAUUCUCAUUGUGAUGUUUUAAAGAAACUUAUUUUAUCUUAAUUGUUCUUUUUAUAUUUAUAUUUACAUUUUGUUUUAAUGUAUAUGUAUCUAUUAUGAGGGUGUAAUUACAUUUAUUUUAUUUACAGAGUGGAAUGCAAAUCUUUUUUUUUUUUUUUUUUCCAUUUUUUUGGUUUGGAAUGGAAACUGUUUCGUCUAUAUUAAAGAAAAGAGCUGAAAAGCAUUUUUCUGCUUCUUGUACUUAUUUCCAUAUUGGCUCUCUUUUUUUUUUUUUAUCGUAAUAUUUAUGAUUUUCCAGGAAAGAAGCGGUUGUUUAGUUAUUUAUGAUACGGAGAACGGUAUAUUAAUCUUAAUUUUGUGUCAAAUUUAUUCUGUUUUUUUUUUUUUAAUUUUUAUACUGACCGUUUUCUAUAUAUAUAUACCAAUUCAGCUUUAUAAAUUAAGAUUUUGCAUUUAUAAAUUUAAAAUAAAAAAUAAAUAACAUACGCCACCUACCUGAUGUUCAAAGAUUCGCAAACAAACACAAUGAAAAGAGAUGAGAAAAAGCUAUCAAAGCGGGUCCCAUGCACGUGACAUUUAACAUGUUUCCGUCCAAUAAUUCUUGAAGAUGACAAGAGUCGUACGUUUUUCUUCGUUGACAAGGAAUUGGACCACGUUGCAGCAUUACGAACUGUAAGUCGCUCCCUUACCUAUACAUGUCUCCUGGUCUUCUUCUUCCCGAGUUCAAGUUCUUUCUGGAAAAAAAUUCUUACACAGCAACAAAAAAAAAAAAAAUAAUCGUAUAGAGCAUUGGAGGCUUCAAGGGAUUAUCCAUGGAGUCAUCUGUAGAUAAAAAACCAGCUCCGCCCCUCCGUUUGAUUUCUCCUGAUUCCUGAAGAAGAGGUUUGAUCGAAGAUCGAUAUUUUCUUUCUUUUUCAUUUUUACUCCUUUUUUGUAAUUUUUUUUUUUUAUACCUAUCCAAAGUUUCGCCUACAGCUGGAACCGUACAUAUAAAAUUUAAGGAUGAUUUAGAAUGUAUGUUAAGUAAUUAAUUUUAUUACCUUUUAAUCUAGUAAUGGCAGACCUCUUAAUUCGUGAAAUGGAAAAAUCUUGUGGAAUAUUGAUUUGUGGAGUUGAUCCUGAUCUAGUGGCUUAUUGGGAAAUAUCUGAAGUUGUUUUGAUCGAUUAAUAUUAGCUUUAGGAGAAGUAUUUUAUAAUUUCUUCUUCGGUCAUUAAUUAAGAUCCAAUGAUAUAGCUAGUAAAGUAAAAGAAACAUAUAGUAAUUAAUUAGUCUAUAACAGAUUCGAUCUGACUGGACCAUAAGCGUAUUUGCCUGCAGUGCGCGUGUGUAUUAGAUGUGCACGAGGCUGAGGCUCGCUUUUGUCUUUUGAUACGAGGCUAGGGCAAGGGUUUUCUUCUCUUUCUCUCUCUCCUUUGUUUUAUGAAAAUGAGUCCGUAAGGAAUUAAUGUUGCCAUCCUAUAAAUCCCCCAAGAGCUAGCAGCCCUCUCAUACGGUUGGCUGAGCACUCAAAUCUUCUUCCAUUGCGAAUGUAUGAAAUUUUCUUUUUGACAUUCCAUUUCCAGAAAUGAACUGCCCUGUUGUAUGUGAGAUUUUUGUUUCCACCAUUGCUAAAUCUUGUAAUCUUCUUUUUCUUCCUGAAAUCUCAAGAUGGUCAGUCUUGGUACCUCCAAGAUGGAACCAAUCAGAUACUUUUGUACCCAAUUUUAAAGCUUCAAUUCCCCUUCCUGAUAUUACUGGUCUUUCUCUUCACAGCCAUCAGAGUUCCUGUCAGUGUGAGAAGCCCCAUGCCCAUGAGUUGUGGAGAUCAUCUCCCUUGUCUGUUGGCAAUAUCCACAAUCGCUUCUCUCAUUUUGGCUCCAUCUCUUUUCUUAGUGGUUUAUUUGUGUCUCAUAAUCCUAUCACUCUUUUAUGUAACGCUAACUUCUCUGUUUAAGCGCUGCUGCAACGGACACGCUGCUGUAAUAGCUUCUGCCGAACCUCACGAGGGCAUCCAAAACCUGCAGCCAGGGGAUCUGGUGCAAUUGUGGUGACUCGAAGUUCCAUGCAACUACUACUACCUAGGGCUAGCUACAGUUGCCACAGUAAUAAUAUAUAUUUCUCUUUUAAUUUUUUUUUAAAGAUAAAAUUCAGAUCUGUUGUUUUAGUUAUGUAUACGACUCCGUAUAGAUGAAGUGGACAAUGAAUGCAUCUAUGUCCUUUUUUUUGUUGGGAAAGUGUUCGGUUUUUUUUUUUUUUUUUUUGACCACGAGGUAUUUUGGGGAGGGCCCCAACUGUGGGAGACACCUUUAAGUCCGUACCACAACCCAUACUUGACCACGAGGUAUCCUGGGGAGGGUCCCAACUGUGGGAGGCACCUUUAAGCUCAUACCACAACCCAGACUUGACCACGAGGUAUCCUGGGGUGGGGCCCAACUGUGGGAGGCACCUUUAAGCCCAUACCACAACCCAGACUUGACCACGAGGUAUCCUGGGGAGGGGCCCAGCUGUGGGAUGCACCUUAAAGCCCGUACCACAACCCAGACUUGACCAUGAGGUAUCCUGGGGAGAGCCCUGAUUGUAGGAUGCACCUUAAAGCCCGUACCACAACCCAGACUAGAAGUCCCGCUCGAAUCGAGAGGCACAGAUUCUCCCAACAAAGACGACUUUCCUGCGAUUCGAAUUGGGGAGCAAACCUAGUCAAGCCACUUAAGAGGACUCCAUUACCAGUAAAACCAACACUUUAUUGGUGGAAAGUGUUCGGUUUUUAAUUGUCAAUAUAAGUGGGUAUCACGAAAUGGCAGUUAACUUUUAGUUUAGUUGCUAUUUUCGUCUUUAUUAAAGAAAAGACCCGAAAGGUACUGUUUCUUGUACUUAUUUCUAUAUUGGCUUAUUUUAAUUUAGUCUUUUUAUCGUAAUAUUUCUAAGAAAGAAGCGGUUGUUUAAUUAGCUAUGAUGCGGAGAACGGAAUAUUAAUAAAAUUUUGUGUCAAAUUUAUUCUGUUUUUCAUUUUUAAUCCAGUACCCUACCCUCGACUCAGUAAUAGCCAUUAAAAUUUUAUAUAAGUAUUGAGAAUUGGCUUGUAGCAGGAGCAAUGAACAAAUUAUUAAUAGCCAAAUGCAGACCCAUUUUAUUUAUCGGCAGUCAGACUGACGGUUUUAUAUACAUAAAUACCAAUUCAACUUUAUAAAUUAAGAUUUUACAUUUAUAAAUUUAAAAUUUAAAAAAUAAAUAAAUAGCAUGCACUGGCUGAUGUUCAAAGGUUCCAAACAAACAAAAUCACCCAAUGAAAAGAGAUGAGAAAAAAGGUUUCAAAACGGAGCCCACAUGCAUGUGACAGUAACAUGUUUCUGUCCAAAAUUCUUGACGAUGACAGAACGUUUUCUCCGUUGAGAAGGAAUUGGACCACGUUGCAGCAUUAGGACCGUAAGACGCUGCCUUAUCUAUAUAUGUCUCCAGGCCUAUCUCUCCCCGAGUUCAAGUUCUUUGUCGAAAAUAAUUCUUAAACAACCCAAAAAAAAAAAUAGAGCGUUGGGGCUGCAAGGGAUUAUCCAUGGAGUCAUCUUUAGAUAAAAAACCAGCGCCACCCCUCCGUCUGAUUCCUCCUGAAGAAAAGGUAUGAUUGAUAUUUUCUUUGUUUUUCAUUUCUACUCUUUUUUUUUUUUUUUAAAUUUCCGUACUCAAUCUAGUGAUGGCAGACCUAUUAAUUCAUGAAAUGGAAAAAUCUCGUGGAAUAUUGACUGGUGGAUUUGAUCCUGAUCUAGUGGCUUAUUAGGAAAUAUCUGAAGUUGUUUUGUUACAUUAAUAUUAGCUCUAGGAGAAGUACUUAAUCUUAUAAUUUCUUCUUCGAUCAUUAAUUAAGGUCCAAUCAUAUAGCUUUUAAAAGAAACAUAUUGUAAUUAAUUAGCCUAUAACAGAUUCAAUCUGACUGUACCAUAAGCAUAAAUAUGUGUGCGUGUAGUAAUGACUACAAUUGAAUUAAUAGUCGGAAACUCGGCAACCAAUUCUAAGAGUGAGCUUUCAAAGGUUAAAGGCGUUAAAAAUAUCCCAAUUUAUCAAAACAUGACUGUUGAGAAGUUUCUUUUGAGUAGAUUAACUGAGAAGCUUGGUAGACCUUAGGCAAUUACCUGUAUACAUCUAUUUAUUAAAACUUUAAUUAAUUACCUGUGGAUUAAGGGAAGAAUGAAUAUACAUUGCAUUUUAUAAAUAAUCGUUUUCCCUCUCAUAACUUGAAAAUACAGUAACUUAAUCCAUUGUCUACUUGCAAUAAAUAAUCUGUUAAUCGAUUUUGAUGUGUGUUUGUAGUGGAUGUACGCUGGUACUCAAAGCUCUCUAUUAUGAAUGAAAUAUCAAUUUAUUUCAAAGUAAGUAGUAUGGCAGACAAUUGAUUAAUAAAAAUGACUUGCACAGUAGAAACGCGGGAGCCACGUUGCGUAAAGUUUGUCAUCACUCGCUUUAACUCGGACAAGAAAACACUUACAGCAUGCCCAGGCCUAGUUAAGAAGACCAAAAGGUCCAUUACGAAUGAAACUACAAGUUUAAAAAGGGAGAGAAGCCCAAGAAGGGACUAGGCCCAGAAUCUUGUUGUCUCCUAUCGGGUCCUGCUAUCCCAGCCGUCUGAUCCAUUGCAGCAUCAAUAAUAUUCAAUUUAAAGCAGCCGAAAGGUGGCGAUUACCAAAUUGGAUUCAGCCCCCCAGAUUGCCUACCAUUACAUGUAUCAUCUCCGAACUGCGCCGUAAAAUGGGAAUAUUGUUGAGGAUAUUAUCUCAAGGAUAAUAGUAACUACGCCAACAAUAUAAACUUGAGGAAUUUUCUAUUUUUGAAUUAGUUCUUGGGUUGAAUUAGGCCAUGGGUUUCUAUAAAUCUAAAAACCCCAAUUGGGUUCAGCUCCAGAGACGAAAGUUUAUCAAACUCAUUCGAGAACCAAAGCCCGAUUACUAGAUUCCCGCAGUAAUCUUAUUUGUCACUACAGGAGAGAAGGGUGUGUUCAAUUGGGUUAGCUGAAGAUUGUUGGCAUCUUCCCCUCGUAAACCUGAAGAUAUAAAGUCCUCCAGAAGGUUAAGAAUUCAAGAUAUAUUUACCUUUAUGGAAACAACAAGGAGCUUUUCUCAGCCCAUAUAAACACUUCUCAAGUUCAUAUAGAGCUAAUAUUUGAGAAAUGCCAAAAGAAAGUAAAAGUUGUACUUGUCUAUAGGAAAUUCGAAAUGAGGAAGCUAUGAAGUCUCUUAUUUUCAAGAAUAAUUGGAUUAAGAUAAAGCAGGGGAUGACUAUAGUUUUUUACUACAACUUAAGCUGUAUAUAGAAGUUUAUUGGUUUCUCUAAUGCUCUAUACUUAUUUUGAAGGCUUAAAUUUCCUCGAACUAAUCUAUUUUUACUCUUCUAUAUUGUUUGUCCGUUCCAUUUUAUUUUAUGUUUCAAUAAAAAUAAUCGGUUUGUAUCACUCUCACUCUUGUUGAAUCAAAAAUCAAAAUCACUCUUUCUAAGACCGUGUUUCGGUGCAUUAUAUAUAUAUAUAUGGUCUUCUUGUAUUUGUAGACUUUUAUUUGCAGUAAUAUAAUUGGCUUUUUUAUGUUUGGUCUUGUUAUAUAUUAUUGUUCUCUGAAGUCUGAAGCAUAGUUAUCUUGAAACAGGCAUAUCCAGAGAACGAUAUAAUACAUAUGGUGCAUCAUACGAAAGGUCUCCUAGUAAAAUUGAAAUUGGGUUAUUUUUACAUACCUCUCCUGAGGUUUCACGUAAUAACAAUUUAAUAGAAAGUAUCUCCGUAUUUUUACAUCCCUCCCCUGCAGUUAGUAUUUCCGUCAGUUGACCGUUAGUGGACCAACAAGAGGACGAAAAUACUCUUUCAAGGUUGACAGGUACAAUUUCCCAGCAAAUUUGGCAGUGCAAGCAUAUUCAAAAGUCGAAAAUACCCAAAUCAAAUAUAAAUUUCACAUUGCUUCGAAGUUGGAGAUUUGGGGUCCAAAAAAAUUUCUUCUCCCUGCUAAUAUUAUUGUUGGAAUCAACAAUAAUAUUGGCAGCAACUUUGCCUAUAAAUACUUCAAUAAAACAAUGUUUAGCUUCUAUGACCAUUUGACAUUUAUUUUGAAGGAAAAAAAAUCCAUUGCAUGAACUCAUGAAGCUCAUGCUAUACAUUAGAUUAGCUAGACUACCUAGCAUUAUUUAAAUCUUGUCGCAGAAGAUUAAUAAGAAAAAGCGAAACCCAUUAUAAUCCAGCCAUAAUAUAUUUUCACAAUUCAAACUUAUUGUCACUUUUAAAGUCAAAGCGAGGAUAAGAACCAAAACUGACUAAAGAAUUGCUAAAAUUCUGCAUGUCUAAUGCUAGUCAAAUAUCAAGUACACGAAUGAAUGGGACAUAGAGAGUUGAACAAGAAUUUUCAAGCACCCAAAAUAGUAACUAAAUUUGUGUCUAAAUGCGGAAAUAAGCAAUACAAGAAAUAUAAACAGGGCUGAGUUUCAAAAAGAAAAACUCUAACUGAUACUACUCUUCCUCACAAUUUAUUAGAUAGUUAUUGCACACAAAAUGAUUUAGUAAAGUGAUAUGGAAAAUCAAGCAAGAAAUAUUAAUAAAAUGAAAAUAGGCCUGCAUAAUAUCAUCCCUUAAUUCCAUUAACUCCAACAUUAUAAACAUUUGACUGCUAAUAAAUAUUAAGUUGAAAAUCUAAUUAACGGGAAAAAAAAAGUUAAGAACAAAAAUACCACCAAAAGCCUUUGUAGCACUAGUGGUACACAGAAGCAACCCCGUACAGCUCACUGAAGAAGAAGACCUUAUAUAAGAAGCAGUUGAAUCCGAACCAGCCCACCCACCAGCACUAGUAGCGGAUUACCCACCAAGCGAUUCAUAUCCAUAUAAAGUUUAUGCCGCAACAGAAGGAUGAUAAACUUUCUGUAGAAGAGUCCUCGGGAACAUUUUUCUCUUCUAAAUCAAGUAUUGGGGGCCAAAGGAAAGUCAAGAUAACGCGACGAGGAUUUGACACACACACAGACACAGAGUCAGGAGCUGAAGUCAUUUGCAACGACAUCGAGCCGUGUAGAGGUGGAGAGGCAUGAAGGAACCACCGAAUCGAGAGGAAUGUCUGGAUGAGAAAGGAUGUAGCUUUUAGGGCUUGUUUUGUUUUGUGAAAUUGGGAAUUAGGGGAACGAAAUCGUGAGCUGCAACGGCGAGACAUGGUGCGGCAUGAAGGAAUCACCGGAAGGGGUGACCGGAUGAGAGAGGAUGUGGCUAUUAGGGGUUACAGAUAAGCUGAUUUGUGAAUUUCUCGUCUUGCUGACCUGAACAGAAUUGAAACCCGAAUAUAAUUUCGGGUUCUGUUCGGUUCUGGUCAACCGACUCAAAAGCCCCUCAAAGUUGAUGUAUCAUAGGAUAGUCAUCAACUAGUAAUUAAACUAACAUGACUUUUAUGCUAAUUCAACAUAAAUCGAAACCCAAACAUUCACAACACAGCAGCACCAAUCUUUCUAGCUUAUAUAUCCAAAAUGAAGAAAACCAAAACUAUGAUUUACUACAAUAUUUUUUCCUAAAAAAAAAAAGUAAAAAACUAACCUCUUCGCAACUCCAAUGCCGGUCGCGGAACCACGUUGCCGUCUAUACUCGCUCAUCUUGUUUAUGGGUAAGUUCAAACUGAUGAUGAAUCUUGAUCUUCAAGCUCGAUAAUACUUGCUUGUUUUCACACUUAUGAUACUGAGGGGUAAAUCUUUUUGCAAAAGAUUUACACUUUUGUGAAGGCAUUGUUUUUUGGUUAAUGAUUUGGACCGGAUAAUGAAGUGAUACAUCAGGUUUUUUGCGCUUACCUAUACUGGUACAGUGAACUUUUUAAGUUUUUUUUUUUUAAUUUUAAAUGAGCUUUUACGAUUUUAGCCUUGCACCUAUACUGGUACAGUGAACUUUUUAAGUUUUUUUUUUUUAAUUUUAAAUGAGCUUUUACGAUUUUAGCCUUGCAUACUGAUGCUAUACAUAAUUUUAUACUAACUGCAGGGGAGGGAUGCAAAAAUACAGAGAUACUUUCUAUUAAAUUGUUAUUACGUAAAACCUCAGGGGAGGUAUGUAAAAAUAACCCAAUUGAAAUUCAAUCUGUUUUCACAUGAAGUUACUUUAAAGUGGAUGGAAUGGCCUUAGCUAAGUUAGUAUUAAUGAGAAAUGAAAUUGUUGUAGGCUGGACUCUCUCUCUCUCUCUAUACCUUUUCGAAGGAAAGUGACGCUUUGAUUGAUUUUGUUAAGAAAUAAAAUUUAAAAUGGGAUUUUAUUACAUAAUAUUAUAUUAAAUUCAAAAGUUUAUUUUUUUAAUUAUUGUAAUCAUAAAGAUUUUUUUUUUAAAAAAAAGAAAGAGGCAAGCAUAGUCGGGUUUAGCUAAUAUGGCAGUUGCCGCAUUAUCACGGCCCAUUAAUGUAAUGUUGUUGUAGCUACUUUUAGCGCCAAAUGUGGGUCUGCAUAAAUUUAAUACAAAACGGUGUUUUUAUACCAUAUAAUGUGGGGUACCAAAUACACCCUUAAUGCUUACUCUUGGAAUAAUUUGAAAUAGUACAAGUUGCAUCUCAUGUUUAGAAUGAAUGAAAUUUGAUCAUUUCAGUAUUGUAAGAACCUUAAUUCCAAUUCCGUCGGUUUGACCAAUUGAGUCUACCAUAAAUUGUAAAUUCUGAAGCAAUGUUUGAAUUAGAGUAUAAUUAUUUUAUUCUAUGGUUAUUUCAUUUUUUAUUUUUAUGAGAAUACUAUGGUUGUUUCAUUGGUUGAAACUUGGAACUAGAAUGGUUCUCAGCUUAGAUGUGAGCUGAAAUGGUUGUAUUUGUUUGGAGAAAAAGAAGGGACUGUUCUGCUUUGUGGUCAUUUUUUCCACCCCCACAAACUGCGACUCGAACCCAAACUAGCAAAUUCAACUGGGAGCCUACCUUUGCGGUAUACUGGCGACUCUGUCUCAGUCGGACUCAGUCAUCUAUGUCUUUUCCUUUUAUCUCUUCCAGAGCUCGAGUUCUAUGUUGGAAAUAAUUCUUGUGAGAAAAAAAAAAAAAUCAAAUAGAGGGUUGGGGUUUCAGUGAAAUUUUAAUUACUGUUAGAUUAAGAACCUGCAGCCCCCUGUUUGAAUUGUUCUGAAGAAGGGGUUUGAUAUUUUCAUUUUUCAAAAGCAAUUUCUUUUUUAAUCUUUUUGUAUUUUCAAUUUUAAUUUUUGUGAUUUUUUUUAACUCUUUUUUAUUUCUUUUUAUGUAUUUGGUUGUCAAGUGUUUCACCUACUGCCAACUGUAACAUAACCUGUUUUCUUGUUGAAGAAAGAACAUAAG